rnacentral:rRNA from 1 species
AUUGAACGCUGGCGGCAGGCCUAACACAUGCAAGUCGAGCGGAGCGGCGGACGGGUGAGUAAUGCCUAGGAAUCUGCCUGGUCGUGGGGGAUAACGUCCGGAAACGGGCGCUAAUACCGCAUACUCUCAGAUGAGCCUAUGUCGGAUUAGCUAGUUGGUGGGGUAAAGGCCUACCAAGGCGACGACCCGUAACUGGUCUGAGAGGAUGAUCAGGCACACUGGAACGGAGACACGGUCCAGACUCCUACGGGAGGCAGCAGUGGGGAAUAUUGGACAAUGGGCGAAAGCCUGAUCCAGCCAUGCCGCGUGUGUGAAGAAGGUCUUCGGGUUGUAAAGCACUUUAAGUUGGGAGGCGUUACCAGCAGAAGAAGCACCGGCUAACUCCGUGCCAGCAGCCGCGGUAAUAC